rnacentral:tRNA from 1 species
GCCGCCCUAGUCCAACGGCAGAGACGACCGCCUUAAGAGCGGUUCAGUGCGGGUUCGAAUCCCGCGGGCGGCA